rnacentral:rRNA from 1 species
CCCUUAGAUGUUCUGGGCCGCACGCGCGCUACACUGACCGGGUCAACGAGUGUUCCUGCAUCGGGAGGUGUGGGUAAUCUUUGGAAACCCGGUCGUGCUGGGGAUAGAUGUUUGCAAUUAUCCAUCUUGAACGAGGAAUUCCUUGUAAGCGUGAUUCAUCAGAUCGCGCUGAAUACGUCCCUGCCCUUUGUACACACCGCCCGUCGCUACUACCGAUUGAAUGGUUUAGUGAGGCCUCGGGACUGGCGCGGACUGGCGGCAACGUUGGUCUGAGCCGGGAACUUGGUCAAACUUGAUCAUUUAGAGGAAGUAAAANUCGUANCA